CCUGCGUCCCAUCAGCUAGUUGGUAGGGUAAUGGCCUACCAAGGCAAAGACGGGUAGGGGGCGUGAGAGCGUGGCCCCCCACACUGGUACUGAAACACGGACCAGAUACCUACGGGUAGCAGCAGCAAGGAAUAUUGCGCAAUGGGCGAAAGCCUGACGCAGCAACGCCGCGUGGAGGAUGAAGGCCUUCGGGUUGUAAACUCCUUUUCUGGGGGAAGAGAAAGGACGGUAUCCCAGGAAUAAGGCCCGGCUAACUACGUGCCAGCAGCCGCGGUAAAACGUAGGGGUCAAGCGUUAUCCGGAUUUACUGGGCGUAAAGCGCAUGUAGGCGGUUGCUUAAGUCGGACGUGAAAGCUCCUGGCUCAACUAGGAGAGGCCGUUCGAAACUAGGUAACUCGAGGAUGGUAGAGGAGAGUGGAAUUCCCGGUGUAGUGGUGAAAUGCGUAGAUAUCGGGAGGAACACCAGUGGCGAAGGCGGCUCUCUGGGCCAUUCCUGACGCUGAGAUGCG
rnacentral:rRNA from 1 species